CGCCGCGGUUAUACGAAAGACCCAAGUUGAUAAUCACCGGCGCAAAGCAUGGUUAAGGACAUAAUAAACUGAAGCUGAACCCUCCCCCUGCUGUUAUACGCCCCCGGAAAAAUAUACCCCUAUCACGAAAGUAGCUUCAUCCCCACCUGAACCCAUGACAUCUAAGAGA
rnacentral:rRNA from 1 species